GUAAUAUUCAGAAAAAAAAUAUUUCUUUGUUAUAAGUAAAACAACUUAUACCUCCUGUUGUGCAAGUUUAACAAAGGCUUUAGGAAAGGUGGAAAUUACAGAAUCCAACCUACAUUGUCUACUGGAAUCAUAGAGUUUGGCUGUAAUGAUUAGAAGCAUUCAAUACAUUAAAUAUGCAAUAUAUGUUGUAUUCAUUCAUUAGCGUUCCUUUAAGACUUUCAUCUAAAAAAAAAAGAAUGCUCUCUCCAAGCAAUAUUAAAUCCCAAUAUCAAAAUGAAAUUUUUAUUACAAGAGAGGUGUGUGAAGAAGAGCCAAACCACUGAGUUAUUCAGGAGAGUCUCCUAAUUGCUAAAACUGGAUUCAAAACAUUGUGUGCAACUUUUUCCAAUUUGUAAGUUAAUAGAUACCCAACUGAAAACAAAAAUGGAUUUGUAUUCCAUUGGAGAUGUUGCCAGGCUGCAGGCAGUAGAGAAUACCUUUCUGGGGGUAUACUAAUGUAAUGUGAUUAGGGCAGAUGUGCUAAAUAAUGGUGGUGUUGGGGGAGGAGGGGGGGAGGGGCACGAAGGGCGGCUAUAUCUCAGGUGAGGUUUUAGUGAAAGGUACUAAAUCAGCAACAGCAUUUUACUGGUUCCCACGGGGAUUUCUCAUUAUAGUUCUUAA